AAACACGCCUCUGGUACCCGCACCCCGCCCACUCACAUGGUGGGGAUUACCUCCCUCUGGGGUUCAAAGAACCGGAGGGAGAGAGACAUGUGAUCGAUACAUGACAGCAGGGUGGGUGUUGAUUGGGAGACACUUGGGAGCCUCCGUGACCACUAGGCGGCGCUGGACUCAUGCGCACUGCGAAGGCCGGGUGACGAUGACUCAUUCGCGGAUCUGCCGGAGGGCCCCCUGGACGCCUUGGGAGGAACGGAAAGGCAGUCAAAUAAAAAUAAAAAGUCAAAAGAUAUUCAGUACAUUUAAGUUUUCUUAUCACCAUUCUUUGUAAAGAAAUGGACUUAUUUUCUGCGGCGCACUCAAAGGCCCCUUUUAUCGUUUCCAGCAACCUGUUUAUAUUUCAUUAUCCACUCUGCGUUGAAUAUGCCGCUUAUUGUUAUCGUCGUCUUAAACUUUUAUGUUAUCCUCAAUCUCAUCUUCUCAGCACCCCCUCUUUCAAAAUCUAAACAAUAAUGAGCAUCAUUUCAACAUUUAUGGAAGGUUGUAUUUGAUUUUUCUUGUGCAGGUGUCCAAUCAAAGUGACUCAAAUUAAGGUGUUGGAAGAGCCGGGGGCCAUUUACAGUGAGACAAUAUCCGCAACCAGCGGAGAGUCGAGGAAUUUGAUCCGGCACAACCCCCACCCCUUCAUUCACACUUUACACUACGGUUUUAUAUGAAUAAAA